AUGCACGCUGGCGGCGUGCCUAAUACAUGCCAGUCGAGCGAACAGAUGAGGAGCUUGCUCCUCUGACGUUAGCGGCGGACGGGUGAGUAACACGUGGAUAACCUACCUAUAAGACUGGGAUAACUUCGGGAAACCGGAGCUAAUACCGGAUAAUAUAUUGAACCGCAUGGUUCAAUAGUGAAAGACGGUUUUGCUGUCACUUAUAGAUGGAUCCGCGCCGCAUUAGCUAGUUGGUAAGGUAACGGCUUACCAAGGCAACGAUGCGUAGCCGACCUGAGAGGGUGAUCGGCCACACUGGAACUGAGACACGGUCCAGACUCCUACGGGAGGCAGCAGUAGGGAAUCUUCCGCAAUGGGCGAAAGCCCGACGGAGCAACGCCGCGUGAGUGAUGAAGGUCUUCGGAUCGUAAAACUCUGUUAUUAGGGAAGAACAAAUGUGUAAGUAACUAUGCACGUCUUGACGGUACCUAAUCAGAAAGCCACGGCUAACUACGUG
rnacentral:rRNA from 1 species